rnacentral:rRNA from 1 species
UAGGGAAUCUUCCGCAAUGGACGCAAGUCUGACGGAGCAACGCCGCGUGAGUGAAGAAGGAUUUCGGUUCGUAAAACUCUGUUGUUAGAGAAGAACAGCGCAUAGAGUAACUGUUAUGCGUGUGACGGUAUCUAACCAGAAAGCCACGGCUAACUACGUGCCAGCAGCCGCGGUAAUACGUAGGUGGCAAGCGUUGUCCGGAUUUAUUGGGCGUAAAGCGAGCGCAGGCGGUUAGAUAAGUCUGAAGUUAAAGGCAGUGGCUCAACCAUUGUAGGCUUUGGAAACUGUUUAACUUGAGUGCAGAAGGUGAGAGUGGAAUUCCAUGUGUAGCGGUGAAAUGCGUAGAUAUAUGGAGGAACACCGGUGGCGAAAGCGGCUCUCUGGUCUGUAACUGACGCUGAGGCUCGAAAGCGUGGGGAGCGAACAGG